rnacentral:rRNA from 1 species
CGUCUAUAUACGUAUAGCAUAUCAAUAAGCGGAGGAAAAGAAACUAACUAGGAUUCCCUUAGUAACGGCGAGUGAAGCGGGAAGAGCUCAAAUUUGAAAUCUUCAAGGUUCUACCUUGACGAAUUGUAGUUUAUAGAAGUGUUUUCUGUAGUGGAGUUUGGUAAAAGUUCUUUGGAAUAGGACAUCAUAGAGGGUGAGAAUCCCGUAUUUGGUCAUUCCUCCUAGCGUUGUGAUACACUUUCAACGAGUCGGAUUGUUUGGGAAUGCAGUCCAAAAUGGGUGGUAAAUUUCAUCUAAAGCUAAAUAUUGGCGAGAGACCGAUAGCGAACAAGUACCGUGAGGGAAAGAUGAAAAGAACUUUGAAAAGAGAGUUAAACAGUACGUGAAAUUGUCAAAAGGGAAGCGUUUGACACCAGUGUUGUUUUUCCGAAAAUCAAUUACGAAUGUUUGAUUUUGUGUUAGUAUUGACCUUCAUCAGCUUGCUUCACUUUCUUUACGAAGUCUUUCUUAAUGCACUUUUCGGUUAACAAGUCAACAUCAAUUUCUUUUGUUGUAAAAGAGUAUGCGGAAGGUGGCUUUCUUUUCGGAGAAAGUGUUUAUAGCCCUUAUGACUUCUACAAUCGGAGAGAUUGAGGUCUGCAGCGUAGAUCCUUCGGGGUUAGAUACAUUUGUGCUAAGUUAUAGCUUUUCAUAGACAACUUGUUGACUAUGAUCAGUCAUGUAGCUUACUCGCUUAUGCUAUUUUACCUACGCUUAGGAUGUUGACUGAUAUGUAGUCGUA